CCAUCAAAAUAACUAAAGUAAAAAAAGUACUAUCAUUCUCAUGUUCUUUGAAAAGAUGUGAUUACAAAAAAGAUCAUCGUUCCAGUGAUAAAUGUUUGGCGGAGAAGUGAAACCUAUACCUUGUUUUUGGUGUCCAAUUUCUCGAUUUUUAUCAUCGUCCAUUAGUGACAUGGGUCAUUGCCGUCCGAUCACAAGGUUGGAGAAAGAUGGAGCCGGUGUCAAGGGGUGGGCCUUCUCCAGCACUCCACGGCCGUAUAACUAUGAAAUGGAUGGGGAUGGCCCUCGGGACUAUGGAUAUCCCAUUGUUUUGAAGGUUGCACUACAUUGAAAGCACAUAACCGCAACUAAGGAUGGAACUACCGAGCCCAGUAACUUGGGCCAGGACCGAAUCGAGUAACUUGGAUUGUGUCCUGCCAAGCUAAAAAGUUAAAAAAAUAAAAAAUACAAAAAAAUCCCAAAACGUAUAAAGGAUAUGUUUAAAGUAAAAUUAACCAAAACACGUCUAAAUGAGGUUAAAAAAGUAGUAAAAAAAUGGAUGAUGAAAAAUCAAUAUGUGAUAGGGGGAUAUUUUAGAAAUAAUCCAAAAAGAAAAAAAUUUACAAAUAUAUAUUCAUGACAAAAACACUUUCAAAUCUUUGCUACAUUGAUAAAAAAACAUAGAAAUAUAUAUUGAAAAUAAAUUUCUUAUUCUUUACAUUUUUUUUUUUAUAUAUUUUUUCAAGAUCUUCAAGUCAGACCACUCAACUGCUGUCCGAGUUGGCUGGCUCGAGUUUUUCCACACUCGAACAAAACAAUGCGCUACCUAUGUUGACAACCUAAAACUAAAAGUUUAUCUUUUGUGAGAUCACCUACAAAUUCAUAGAUGAACGGUUAUGAAAAGAGAACGCAAAUGCUUGUAUGAUGUUCCCGCGGGUCUCAUUCUCUCCCAUUAAAAGACAAU
rnacentral:lncRNA from 1 species